CCUACGGGGGGCAGCAGUGAGGAAUAUUGGUCAAUGGACGAGAGUCUGAACCAGCCAAGUAGCGUGAAGGAUGACUGCCCUAUGGGUUGUAAACUUCUUUUAUAUGGGAAUAAAACGUUCCACGUGUGGGAUUUUGUAUGUACCAUAUGAAUAAGGAUCGGCUAACUCCGUGCCAGCAGCCGCGGUAAUACGGAGGAUCCGAGCGUUAUCCGGAUUUAUUGGGUUUAAAGGGAGCGUAGGUGGAUUGUUAAGUCAGUUGUGAAAGUUUGCGGCUCAACCGUAAAAUUGCAGUUGAAACUGGCAGUCUUGAGUACAGUAGAGGUGGGCAGAAUUCGUGGUGUAGCGGUGAAAUGCUUAGAUAUCACGAAGAACUCCGAUUGCGAAGGCAGUUCACUGGACUGCAACUGACACUGAGGCUCGAAAGUGUGGGUAUCAAACAGGAUUAGAUACCCGAGUAGUC
rnacentral:rRNA from 1 species